UCUAGGUAUGGUCCCAGGGAUC
rnacentral:miRNA from 1 species